CGGUAAUACGGAGGAUCCAAGCGUUAUCCGGAAUCAUUGGAUUUGAAAGGCCCGUAGGCGGUCAGAUAAGUCAGUGGUGAAAGCCCAUCGCUCAACGGUAGAACGGCCAUUGAUACUGUCUGACUUGAAUUAUUAGGAAGUAACUAGAAUAUGUAGUGUAGCGGUGAAAUGCUUAGAGAUUACAUGGAAUACCAAUUGCGAAGGCAGGUUACUACUAAUUGAUUGACGCUGAUGGACGAAAGCGUAGGUAGCGAACAGAGUUAGAUACCCUGGUAGUCCACGCCGUAAACGAUGGAUACUAGUCGUUGGGAGCAAUCUCAGUGGCUAAGCGAAAGUGAUAAGUAUCCCACCUGGGGAGUACGUUCGCAAGAAUGAA
rnacentral:rRNA from 1 species